AACUAAAUCAAAUCAAAAGUUUCUACACUUCGAUCACGCUAAGUUUAGCAGUCAAAUGGCAUGCAUAUCCCAUAGGAGCACCAUACUGACAUGAAGGAUAAAAAAACCGACUUCAACGAGGGAGACCGGUGAAAGAAAGAUUAUUAUUUUAUAUUAAAAUAUGUCUUGAAAAUCUAAUUUACUUAACAAACACAGCAAAGAGGACAAAUCGCCAAUAGUGAACUAUGCGUCGUUGAAGAGUUCUAUUCUGAUUAUCAUCAGCAGUCCCAUUUCAUCAAAUGUCACUUUUUUAAAUGUAAAUGCUUGAUUUGUAAAAGAAAAUACAAAAAUCACUAUAUGCCUUUAACAUUUGAGGAGUUUUUUUCGAUUCCUCAUGGAUUCUACCAUCAGAUCUCGAGCUUGGCAAAAAUGGAUCUCGAAAACCUAAUUUGCCUAACAAACAUAAAGAGGAUGACAAGUCGCCAAGCGGGAACUAUGCGUCGUUGAAGAGUUCCAUUCUGAUCAGCAUCAGCAGUUCCACUUCAUCGAAUGUCACUUUUUAAAUGUAAAUGCUUGAUUUGGUGAUGAAAAUAUAAAAAUUACAAUAUCUCAACUCGAUUCCUCAUGGAUCCCAUCAUCAGAACUAAGUUUUGACAAAAACGCGACCAAUCUGUAUAUAGAUUAUAAUAUAUAGAUUCAAUGAAAAAAAUAAUUUUCGAAAUCGGUCCAGAAAUGACGGAGUUAUGAAGUAACAAACAUUAAAAACAAAAAAUAAAACAUACCUACACCCGAAUUGAUAACCUCCUCCUUUUGAAAUCUUGAAGUCGGUUAAAAAUACAAAUAGUUUAUUAAAAAAUAUAUACUGUUCUAUAUUUUAAUGUGACUCGCUGCCACUGCCUGCCUUUGAAUUUUGUAUUUUGAAUAUAUUAACGCAUCCACUGCCAACAUUUUCGUAGCGCUACACGCGUAGAUGAUUCUAGCGUUUUUCCGCUUUGUAGACGAAAGCGACUACGAACAGAGCGCCCGCCGAGCGGGUUCUCGGCACUCAAUGUGUUAAUAAAUAAAUAAUUUACAAAUACCUUUUGUAGGACAUCCAUACAUAAAUUGACUACGACCCACAGUAUACUCAAGGUUUGUGUUGUGGGUAUUCAGACAACGCUUUAUAUAUUAUAUAGAUACUUAAAAUAUACCUACAGAAACACCCAUGACACAGAAACGAAUAUAUGUGCUCAUCACACAAAUAAAUGCCCUUACCGGAGUUCGAAUCCGGGACCAUCGGCUUCAUUGGCAGGUCAUUACCGUCUAAGACAUUUCUUAAUAUACAUAGUUGUGUUUAUAACUUGCAAUUGGUUUAUUGUAUCCAAUAUAAUUAUCAUGUGUGGAAUAAAUGUUAUUUUGUAUUAAU